CAGGAAAUCAAGCAUUACAAAACAAUUCUAUCGUUGUGAUCUCACCUGAAUAUUGCGUACCAUAUCAAGUAGAUCUUUAUAUUGCCAAGAAAGUUAAAAAAGUAACGGAAGAUAGGUAUUUAGGAGCUUUUGAUAUCAAUGGAAUAACAUCUUCCAAGUUAAAACCAGCGGUUUAUUCAGCAGUAGACUUAUCCUUAUCGUUGCUAACGGAGUUCCGGUCGUAUAUCUAAAACCAGUGACAUUUUCUUUCCUUGAAAGUUGGAAAGUAUAUACAGGAGAUAGCAAAGACUCAAAAGACUUGUUGUUUAGCGUGAAGGAAUCUAAGUUUUUUCAACUCAAGACUAAUUUGGAUGUGUUCUUAGCAUCAAACAAAGCUGAGGAUGUCUGUGAUUUUAAAAUUAAACAAAGAGAUAGCAAGAAAUCUUGCAUCAUAUACCGUGGGAAUUUCAGAUAACAUCAUUGCUGAGAUGCACAAGAACAAGGCUAUUCAAGAUAAAGUUCGCGUGAAGGACACAUACUCACUCACUGUCUAUCCGAAUGUUGAUUAUGCUUUUCUUGUGGCGAUGUGUGCGGUUCUAGAUAAAAUUAAUACGCCUCGUAAC